CGGACGGGUGAGUAACGCGUGAGUAACCUGCCCUUCAGAGGGGGAUAACGUUCUGAAAAGAAACGCUAAUACCGCAUAACAUCAAUUUAUCGCAUGAUAGGUUGAUCAAAGGAGCAAUCCGCUGGAAGAUGGACUCGCGUCCGAUUAGCCAGUUGGCGGGGUAACGGCCCACCUAGUCGACGAUCGGUAGCCGGACUGAGAGGUUGAACGGCCACAUUGGAACUGAGACACGGCCCAGACUCCUACGGGAGGCAGCAUG
rnacentral:rRNA from 1 species